rnacentral:rRNA from 1 species
GAUGAACGCUGGCGGCGUGCCUAAUACAUGCAAGUAGAACGCUGAAGGAGGAGCUUGCUCUUCUGGAUGAGUUGCGAACGGGUGAGUAACGCGUAGGUACCUGCCUUGUAGCGGGGGAUAACUAUUGGAAACGAUAGCUAAUACCGCAUGACAACAGUUAUUGCAUGAUAACUGUUUAAAAGGGGCAACUGCUCCACUACCAGAUGGACCUGCGUUGUAUUAGCUAGUUGGUGAGGUAACGGCUCACCAAGGCGACGAUACAUAGCCGACCUGAGAGGGUGAUCGGCCACACUGGGACUGAGACACGGCCCAGACUCCUACGGGAGGCAGCAGUAGGGAAUCUUCGGCAAUGGACGGAAGUCUGACCGAGCAACGCCGCGUGAGUGAAGAAGGUUUUCGGAUCGUAAAGCUCUGUUGUAAGAGAAGAACGAGUGUGAGAGUGGAAAGUUCACACUGUGACGGUAUCUUACCAGAAAGGGACGGCUAACUACGUG